rnacentral:misc_RNA from 1 species
CACCUGACACUGACGUCAGAUGUUUGUGUCAGAGCUGAUUUUAUUUCCAGGUCUCAUUCUCCGUGUUGAAUUCGUAGUGAGCAGAUGAGUGUUACUUGUUCUUCAAGAUUCUGCGCUCAAAACUCGUCGAAUGGCUAUUUAAUUCAGUUUUAUUGAUACAGUUAUGAUGUGCUACGAUAAUAUCUAAUGAGAUUACUCCAGCCUAGAUCAUGGAACUCAAUUUUAAUACACUUAAGGAUCACUGUGCAUCUAAACAACCAUUAAGGGCAGAUAUCAAUACUAUUUUCUGACCGCGGAGCAGCUCUACAUCACAAGUGAAGAUAUGGUUCGGUGAAUGUGCUUAGCCUACCAAUCGAAUCCAAGUGCACCAUUGUGGAUAUUUUUCGAAAGGAUCACUGUGCAUCUAAACAAACCAUUAAGGGCAGAUAUCAAUACUAUUUUCUGACCGCGGAGCAGCUCUACAUCACAAGUGAAGAUAUGGUUCGGUGAAUGUGUUUGUUACAGCUUAGCCUACCAAUCGAAUCCAAGUGCACCAUUGUGGAUAUUUUUCGAAAGGAUUAAUAUGAAUCUGAAGAAACAAACAAUUAUGGAGAAGCAUGUGGAUCAUCAUGAAGAUGCCACCAGCUACUCAAUGCAUUGGAGAGCAGCUCUACUACCAAAGUGGAGAUAUGGAUCAUUCAAUGUGGUAUGAGACAUCUGGUAUUUAUAUUAUUAGUUGAUUAGGAUAGAUUUCUAACCCUUCCCAAUAACACUGAUGGCUAGGGCUGGGAUGUUGUAUGAUCUUGUUAGGGUCCCUGUAGGAUAUUUACAGUGUCAGUUGAAUGUUUCAUUUCUGAUCAGUGCCCUUUGUGGUGGUCUCACGGCUUUUUCAUUAUGGUUGCGGGCUCAGUACAGCACUAAUUUGAUGAGCAGGUGGUACUGUUACACUGUGGCCAGGUCUGAUCUUUUCUAUGAGACUGGCGAUGCAAAUAUUUGAUUGUAGUGCCUUCAGCAAACUUAGGAAAGGGGGGAUGAGAAUUAUUUGAGUUAAGAAUUAGGAUUAAGAAAUUAGUGAUCUAAGUUUAGAUUAGAUACUGAAGUUAUAUUGGUAGAGUCUAGCCUCUAGCCUUUGCUAGUUGGCGGGGUUAAGCCUCUAGCCUUUGCUAGU